CCUACGGGGUGCAGCAGUGAGGAAUAUUGGUCAAUGGCCGUAAGGCUGAACCAGCCAAGUCGCGUGAAGGAAGAAGGAUCUAUGGUUUGUAAACUUCUUUUAUAGGGGAAUAAAGGUAUCCACGUGUGGAGAUUUGCAUGUACCCUGUGAAUAAGCAUCGGCUAACUCCGUGCCAGCAGGCGCGGUAAUACGGAGGAUGCGAGCGUUAUCCGGGUUUAUUGGGGUUAAAGGGUGCGUAGGUUGUUUUUUAAGUCAGCGGUGAAAGUUUGGGGCUCAACCAUAACAUUGCCGUUGAAACUGGAAGACUUGAGUGUGUUUGAGGUAGGCGGAAUGCGUGGUGUAGCGGUGAAAUGCAUAGAUAUCACGCAGAACUCCGAUUGCGAAGGCAGCAUACUAAGCCAUAACUGACACUGAAGCACGAAAGCGUGGGGAUCAAACAGGAUUAGAUACCCCGGUAGUC
rnacentral:rRNA from 1 species